rnacentral:lncRNA from 1 species
UUCCGUGUUUUUUGUGGUGGGCAAGUGAAGCAGACAGUUGGAUGAGGAAUGAAUUCGAUGGCCAAUGGGCAGAUGAGGCUCAUUAACUUGAAACAGCGUGACAGUUGGGGCGUCGUGGGGCCAUCUCCUUUAAGAGCUCGCAACGCAGCGGAACGACGUGGAUUCUCUGGCUAUAUUAAGCUUUGCCCCAUAGCUCGAUGCCGGCAUGCGCAGUGAGAUUCUGAACUUCCUUUGAUCUCUCUGCGGGUUUGAGCGACGAUGAGGGUAGUUUCGCGUUGUGCCGGGGUUGCACUCUUUUGUGCGUUGCUAGUUGGUGCCGCCGUCGGAGACGCAGAUGGCGUCAAAGACGACAAGCACUUGUUUCCCCACCCGGGUUUAGGGCAUGGGAUUUACAAGNNNN